rnacentral:rRNA from 1 species
CCUACGGGGGGCUGCAGUGGGGAAUAUUGGACAAUGGGGGGAACCCUGAUCCAGCCAUGCCGCGUGUGUGAAGAAGGCCCUCGGGUUGUAAAGCACUUUCAGUGAGGAAGAACGCCUGGUGGUUAAUACCCAUCAGGAAAGACAUCACUCACAGAAGAAGCACCGGCUAACUCCGUGCCAGCAGCCGCGGUAAUACGGAGGGUGCGAGCGUUAAUCGGAAUUACUGGGCGUAAAGCGCGCGUAGGUGGCUUGAUAAGCCGGUUGUGAAAGCCCCGGGCUCAACCUGGGAACGGCAUCCGGAACUGUCAAGCUAGAGUGCAGGAGAGGAAGGUAGAAUUCCCGGUGUAGCGGUGAAAUGCGUAGAGAUCGGGAGGAAUACCAGUGGCGAAGGCGACCUUCUGGACUGACACUGACACUGAGGUGCGAAAGCGUGGGUAGCAAACAGGAUUAGAUACCCUUGUAGUC